GUCAGGAAAUUUCAGGUGGCCACGGUGUUUGACAAAAAACAAGAACUAAAAUAUCAUAAUGAAAACUAAGAUGGAAGCUUUUUUUAACUCAGCUUGAUGCAGAAUAUCUGAAAAGUGGCAUGGUAUUUCUACAUUUACCAUGUCGUGAUGACACAUUUUACGAAGUGAUCAAUCUAUCAAAUUCUGGUCCAUUUGCAUUCCGCACAAGCAUGCAUAAGUAUGUAAACCAUUUAAAUGAAAGCAAAAUGAUGACAAAAACUGGACCACAGAACAAGUAAUUAUAACACAUUUUAGUCCAAACAAUAAUCAAUUCCUUUGAUACUGGGAGCCGGGAAGGAAAAAAAUAGAGGGAGGACUAGGAGGUGAAGGGAAACAAGAGGAGAGAGAGAGAG
rnacentral:misc_RNA from 1 species